rnacentral:rRNA from 1 species
AACCGGGAAUAUUGCGCAAUGGACGAAAGUCUGACGCAGCGACACCGCGUGUGGGAAGACGCUUUUAGGAGUGUAAACCACUGUGGCGAGGGAUGAAUUUUUGACAGUACCUCGCUAGAAAGCACCAGCUAACCACGUGCCAGAAGCUUCGGUAAUACGUGGGGUGCAAGCGUUAUCCGGAUUUAUUGGGCGUAAAGGGUCCGUCGGCGUUUUCAUUAGUCUUUUGUUUAAGCCUGGGGCUCAACUCCAGAAAGGCAAAAGAUACUGUGAAAAUAGAGUCUGUUUGAGGAAACUAGAAUUCUUGGUGGAGGGGUGAAAUCCGUAGAUAUCAAGAGGAAUACCAUGCGCGAAGGCAGGUUUCUACAACAUGACUGACGCUCAGGGACGAAAGCUUGGGUAGCAAAAGGGAUUAGAGACCCCUGUAGUCCAAGCCGUAAACGAUCUUUGCUAGUUGCUCGGGGUUUCCUGAGUGGCGUAAGCUAACGCGUUAAGCAAAGCGCCUGGGGAGUACGACCGCAAGGUUAAAACUCAAAGGAAUUGACGGGGGAGCGCACAACCGGUGGAGCAUGUGGUUUAAUUCGAUACAAAGCGAAAGACCUUACCCGGACUUGACAUGUACCUGCACGGCUAUGGAAACAUAGCUUUCUUCGAGAGUGGUACACAGGUGAUGCAUGGCUGUCGUCAGUUCGUGUCGUGAGACGUCCACUUAAGUGUGGUAACGAACGCAACCCUUGUUCUGUGUUAUAAGUGUCACAGAAGACUGCCUUUGUUAUACAAAGGAGGAAGGAGAGGAUGACGCCAAGUCAGCAUGUCCCUUACGUCCGGGGCUACACACAUCCUACAAUGGAGCCGACAACAGGUUGCGACGGAGUAAUCCUGAGCUAAUCCUCUAAACGGCCCCUCAGUUCGGAUUGAGGGCUGCAAUUCGCCCUCAUGAAGCCGGAAUCGGUAGUAAUCGCAAAUCAGCAGGUUGCGGUGAAUACGUUCUCGCUCCUUGUACACACUGCCCGUCAAGCCAGCAAAGUCAGCAGCGCCCGAAGCGGGUGACCAUAACCAGUUUACUGGAAUGGCCCUUCUACGGUGAGGUUGGCGAUGAGGACU